UAGUCCGCACGAGCGCACCCCUACUGUUAGUUGCCAGCAUGUAAAGAUGGGGACUCUAACAGGACUGCCUGCGCAAGCAGAGAGGAAGGAGGGGACGACGUCAAGUCAUCAUGGCCCUUACGCCCAGGGCUACACACGUGCUACAAUGGCGCAUACAGAGGGUCGCUACCUGGCAACAGGGUGCCAAUCUCAAAAAGUGCGUCUCAGUUCGGAUUGAGGUCUGCAACUCGACCUCAUGAAGUCGGAAUCGCUAGUAAUCGCGCAUCAGCAAUGGCGCGGUGAAUACGUUCCCGGACCUU
rnacentral:rRNA from 1 species